UCAUUCACAUUCCAGCUCCACCUUCUGGUACCUCCUGCACCCACCCUUAGAUUGGUGAUUUAAACUACUAAAAGACAAAUAUCAAACACUUUUAUCUGGAACUUAACUGUGUUUCUCUAUGGCCUUCAUGCUGCGUGACAAACAAAGCAAAAAAGACACAGACACUACCUUGAUAAUCAAGAUCCUCAGCAGCUGAAAUGUCUGAAAUAAGCAUCAUGCUCUCUGGAGACAGAGGGAAGACUUUUCAUCAUCCAAAGCCCUGUCAGUUCUUUCCAGGUGGCACAGAGGGAAAGUUUACUAAUUCCUCACUCCUACCUACUACCUUAGAAGUAGAAGAAUGAAACAGAAUCUCAGCUGAUGCAUCAAGUGGGAAUCUUGUAUGUAUUUGAGUGGAUCAGGACUGGGAAGCUACUAUAUUUUUACAGAGCAUAUGCAAGCCACUUGCCCCAAAUCAGGCCUCUUUAGUAAGUUUCUAGAAAAAAAAAACCACAAAAGCUUUGUUACUUGAAAAAUACAAGUCAUUAUAUAAAAUGAAUGAAUCUUA